AUGAAACUGAGCCUUACCAGGGAAACAGAAACUGACCGAGCAUCACUGGAGGAGAGCCAAAGGAAAGGAUUAUUAUCAAAUGGGGACCAGUGGCCACGCAGAGCACUUCUCCAGGUGGUGUCCUAUCUGACCAGCCAAGGCUCUUUCAACAGGGCUUCUCACGCCAAGGGUUGUUGGCCUUUGGCCUUCCAGCCCUGGGCAUGGGCAUCACUGACAGUUCUGAUCAGCAGGGAUGAAUGGUGGUGUUGGGCCAGCCAGUGGGCUUGUGGCCAUCCUAUACCAUCCUUGGGCCUGGGGUGAACACCACUAUGCCAGCCUGAUGUGGGAGCCAAGGCUGGCUAUGAGGUCCAUCAGAAUUUCAUAUGCCAAAAGAAAUGUGAGAAUGAGGGGGUGAGUAGGAGCAGAUGUCUACCAGUAACUCUAACCAGACAAUCAGAGCCCAUAUGAACCUUGCUGACCAGCAAGGAAAUGGGCUUAGUGUUCUGGAUGAAUAAACUGAAUAAAUCUGCUCA
rnacentral:lncRNA from 1 species